rnacentral:rRNA from 1 species
GAUGAACGCUGGCGGCGUGCCUAAUACAUGCAAGUCGAGCGAACAGACGAGGAGCUUGCUCCUCUGACGUUAGCGGCGGACGGGUGAGGAACACGUGGAUAACCUACCUAUAAGACUGGGAUAACUUCGGGAAACCGGAGCUAAUACCGGAUAAUAUAUUGAACCGCAUGGUUCAAUAGUGAAAGACGGUUUUGCUGUCACUUAUAGAUGGAUCCGCGCCGCAUUAGCUAGUUGGUAAGGUAACGGCUUACCAAGGCGACGAUGCGUAGCCGACCUGAGAGGGUGAUCAGCCACACUGGAACUGAGACACGGUCCAGACUCCUACGGGAGGCAGCAGUAGGGAAUAUUCCGCAAUGGGCGAAAGCCUGACGGAGCAACGCCGCGUGAGUGAUGAAGGUCUUCGGAUCGUAAAACUCUGUUAUUAGGGAGGAACAAAUGUGUAAGUAACUAUGCACGUCUUGACGGUACCUAAUCAGAAAGCCACGGCUAACUACGUG